UACGUAGGGUGCAAGCGUUGUCCGGAAUUAUUGGGCGUAAAGAGCUCGUAGGCGGCUCGUCGCGUCGACCGUGAAAACCCGCAGCUUAACUGCGGGCUUGCGGUUGAUACGGGCGGGCUAGAGUUCGGUAGGGGAGACUGGAAUUCCUGGUGUAGCGGUGAAAUGCGCAGAUAUCAGGAGGAACACCGGUGGCGAAGGCGGGUCUCUGGGCCGAUACUGACGCUCAGGCACGAAAGCGUGGGGAGCAAAAGGG
rnacentral:rRNA from 1 species